rnacentral:rRNA from 1 species
AGAGUUUGAUCCUGGUUCAGGAUGAACGCUAGCUACAGGCUUAACACAUGCAAGUCGAGGGGAGACGACAUCGAAAGCUUGCUUUUGAUGGGCGUCGACCGGCGCACGGGUGAGUAACGCGUAUCCAACCUGCCCACCACUUGGGGAUAACCUUGCGAAAGUAAGACUAAUACCCAAUGACGUCUCUAGAAGACAUCUGAAAGGGAUUAAAGAUCUAUCGGUGAUGGAUGGGGAUGCGUCUGAUUAGCUUGUUGGCGGGUAACGCCACAAGGCUACGAUCAGUAGGGGUUCUGAGAGGAAGGUCCCCACAUUGGAACUGAGACACGGUCCAAACUCCUACGGGAGGCA